rnacentral:misc_RNA from 1 species
UGGAAGCAUUGAUGGGAGCAGACUUUUUGACUUAUACGAUUACUCAAAGAAGAAUUUAUAUGAGGCGUGGGCACAAUAUUAUCCUGAAGACUUGUAUUCCUUCCCUGAGAAGUUGUGGAGUUAUUUUUAAUAGGCCCAGAUGGUGGUAUACUAAAAAAGGAAGGAGGUAAUGAUGUCGAAAAGAGAGGAAAACUAGGGGGCUGUGAAUUUUGUUGAGAAUGAAUGAUAGAUGAUAGUGAUGUUUUGGUAUGUGGCAGUGAAGUCCCUUGAGGAGGAAAUGUUG